UGCUCAAAAUGCCACCCUAACUACAACAUCUCAGUCCCCAAAAUUGUACAGCACAUUAUUAGCACUUCUCUUUGGCCAUUUAAGUUUUAGAUCCAGACUUUAGCUUUAGUAUAGCUAUUUAAAUUAUUUAUGUGAAUGUUAUUUUGAUAUUUUGUACGAAGUGCGUUUUUUGUUGCUAUUGAUAAUAUUUUAUCCAAGUGGAUUGUGCAGGUGUUUGUGUGUAGAGUAUGGACUCAUGGGGCUGGUUUCCUUAACACUGAUUAGCUUACAUGCUACUAAUUCAUAAUGCUGGUUUUUAGACACCUCAGUCUGCAGUGUUUUCUCCAAAGGGGAAAGGUUUGCAUCCCACUGCUGUGCUGCGUCAUGAAACCGGCUGAGCGGUCCAAAAAUGGAGCAGGCAG